rnacentral:rRNA from 1 species
GAUGAACGCUGGCGGCGUGCCUAAUACAUGCAAGUCGAGCGAACAGAUGAGGAGCUUGCUCCUCUGACGUUAGCGGCGGACGGGUGAGUAACACGUGGAUAACCUACCUAUAAGACUGGGAUAACUUCGGGAAACCGGAGCUAAUACCGGAUAAUAUAUUGAACCGCAUGGUUCAAUAGUGAAAGACGGUUUUGCUGUCACUUAUAGAUGGAUCCGCGCCGCAUUAGCUAGUUGGUAAGGUAACGGCUUACCAAGGCAACGAUGCGUAGCCGACCUGAGAGGGUGAUAGGCCACACUGGAACUGAGACACGGUCCAGACUCCUACGGGAGGGAGCAGUAGGGAAUGUGCCGCAAUGGGCGAAAGCCUGACGGAGCAACGCCGCGUGAGUGAUGAAGGUCUUCGGAUCGUAAAACUCUGUUAUUAGGGAAGAACAAAUGUGUAAGUAACUAUGCACGUAUUGACGGUACCUAAUCAGAAAGCCACGGCUAACUACGUG